AAAAUACCGAGAAAGAAUGGAAUCCACCAAGCUUUAUUUUUUUUAAAAAAAAGAACCCUCAAAGGGAAAAAGGCUGCACACUGGAAGACGAAGGCAAACCCUAGUCGCUACUCCACCGCGGCGCCAACCACCUCGAUCGGGCUCCGAUUCCGAUGGACUUCGCGGAGCUGGAGGCCGUGGAGGGCCUCCGGUGGCCGUGGCACUCGUGGCCGCCGACUGCUCCCGCCGCCGCGUCCCUCGUCGUGCCCACGGCCGUCCUCUGCUCGCCGCUGCAGCACCCCACGGCGCCCGACCUCCUCCCGCUGCUCCCCUACGCGCCGCUCCGCUGCGCCUCCCCGGGUUGCGGCGCCGCGCUCAACCCGUUCUCGCGCGUGCACCACGGCUCCGCGCGCUGGUCCUGCCCCUUCUGCGGCGCCACCGGCAACCCGUUCCCGCGCCUCCUGGCCCCCGACGCGCUCCCCGCCGAGCUCUUCCCCACCCACUCCAGCGUCGAGUACUCGCUGCCUCCGGACCCCGCCGAGGCCGGGGGCCCGGGGCCACCUGCGCUCGUGUUCGUGAUCGAUGCGGCCACGGCGGCCGAGGAGCUCGCCGUGCUGAAGGACGAGGUACGCAGGGUCGUGCAAGGGCUGCCCGAGGGGAUCAGGGUGGCGCUCGUCACUUUCGCUGCGUCCGUAUGGGUGCACGAUCUUGGAUUUGAGGGUUGCGCUCGAGUGGUUGUGCUCAACGGCGAGCGUGAGCUCGAGUCUGACAAGAUACAAAAACUUCUAGGUGUUCACCGUUCACCAUACAAGAAGUUGGCUAUGCCAAGGUCCACUGAAGCACAGCGAUUUUUGCUGCCUGUUUCUGAAUGUGAAUUUAACAUCACAUCUGCAAUAGAGGACCUGAGCUCCAUGUCUGCAUGUCCACGUGGGCACCGCCCUUUAAGGGCAACUGGCGCAGCGAUUUCUACUGCUAUUGCUCUUCUAGAGGGUUGCUGCUCACCCAGUACUGGUGGUCGGAUUAUGGUCUUUACAUCUGGUCCUGCAACAGUUGGUCCAGGGUGUGUUGUGGAAACUGAUCUUGGGAAAGCAAUUCGUUCUCAUCGUGACAUAUUCAAUAGCAACGCACCUUUGACUGACAAAGCACGUGAUUUCUAUAAGAAAGUUGCAAAGAGGUUGACAGAUCAUGCAUUAGUUCUUGAUCUGUUUGCUUGCUCCCUUGAUCAGGUUGGGGCCGCAGAGCUGAGGAAUCCAAUUGAAGUGUCAGGGGGUUUAAUGGUGCAUACAGAAUCAUUUGAGUCUGAGCAGUUCAAAAGCUGUUUUAGGCAUAUGUUCAAGCGUGAAGGCGCCAAUAACCUUAAUAUGAACUUCAAUGCGACGAUUGAAAUAGUGACAUCAAAGGAGGUGAAGAUUUGUGGCGCCCUUGGUCCCUGCAUUUCCCUUCGCAGGAAAAAUAGCUCCGUUAGUGAUAAGGAAAUUGGUGAAGGUGGGACAAAUUAUUGGAAAACUAGUUCACUGAGCAGCAAGACCAACAUUGCUUUCUUUUUCCGAGUUGAUUGCAGUCGUAAAGCUGAGCCCCCAACUGUCUUCUUUAUUCAGUUCAUGACAAGGUACCGAGCUGGUGAUGGUAGUUAUCGCCUAAGGGUAACGACCGUUGCAAGAAGGUGGGCUGCUCCUCGAUCUCCUGAAAUUGCUGCAGGGUUUGAUCAGGAAGCUGCUGCAGCUGUUAUGGCCAGGCUUGCUGUUUACAGGGCAGAGACGUACCAUGUUAGAGAUGUUAUACGAUGGCUUGACAAGAUGCUUAUCCGCUUCACUGCUAAGUUUGGAAACUAUGUUUCUGAAGAUCCAUCUACAUUUCGGCUGUCAACAAACUUCUCCUUGUAUCCACAGUUCAUGUACUACUUGCGGAGAUCACAGUUCAUUGAUGUUUUCAACAGCUCUCCUGAUGAAACUGCUUUCUUCAGGUUGAUGCUGAAUAGGGAGGGAGUUGUGGGGUCUCUAAUCAUGAUCCAGCCUACUCUAUUCCAGUACUCAUUUGAUGGACCACCUAUUCCUGUGCUGUUAGAUGUCAGCUCCAUCUCUCCUGAUGUCAUUUUACUAUUUGAUUCAUACUUCUAUAUCGUGAUUCAUUAUGGCUCAAAGAUUGCUCAAUGGAGGAAGCUUGGCUAUCACAAGGACCCAAACCACGAAAAUUUGCGGAAGCUCCUUGAAGCACCAGAAGUAGAUGCAGAGGCACUAUUGGUAGACCGUUUCCCUGUGCCAAAACUCAUAAAGUGUGACCAGCAUGGUAGUCAGGCCAGGUUCCUGCUCGCUCGCUUGAAUCCAUCUGUGACACAGAAAACACAGCUUUCAGAGGGAUCUGAAGUCAUUUUCACCGACGAUGUUAGUUUGCAAGUGUUUAUUGAACACUUGCAGGAGUUGGCUGUUCAGGGCUAGAAAGUCAUGGAGCUUCACCAUGUCUCUGCUAUUUGGUCCACUUGAGAUCCUGAAGAUAUGGCUUUGAGAGGGACCAGACUUCAUAUUUGCAGAUGAAGUUUACUUGCAAGUUUUUAUUGAACACUUGCAGUAAUUGGUUGUGCAGGAUUAACAUGUUCAUGUGGAUUAUUUAUAUGCAAUUUUCUGCUCACAUGCAAAUACUGGGGAGCUCUACUGCCUGGAGGAGUGAGAUCUCCCUGAGUUGUACAUUGCUCAAGCUCCAGUUUGAUUAUAAAAGAGGGGAAAAGGCUACACAGCGGCCACCAUCCUCCUAAUGGAAUCUGCCACUGCCAGAAGGUUAAGUAAGUACACCAUUCACUUUCAGGCAUGGACCGACAAAGCCAGCCAUUAAACGAACAUGCUGGUAUGCGUUUUAUUUAUUUAUUUAUUUUUAAAAAAAGGUGAUGAUAAUUCGCGCCGCGCUUUUGCGAGCGACAAGGGACAUACACAAUAGUUUCUCCGUGUGCACUUUCUGCCCAGAGGAUCCUUUUUCUAUGGAUAUUUUACCCUGUUCAAAUCGUCCCGUUGAUUUGCUAAGAUUACUCGGCGUACUAUAGAUACAAAAAAAAACCUGAAUAAAUAAAAGGAAGCAAGGAGCGUGGGAAAAAAAGAGAGCAUCAAGGACAUGCACAUAAAGUCACGCACAGGCUUUCUACCAAAUGCCAUUACGCUAUAUAUUUUUGUAUUAUUAUUCCAUACACAGAAAAGAGGGAGGGAAAACACAGUCCCUUGUAUAUAUAUCAUAGAUGGCACUCAGCUCACAGGAAUUUCAUGGUUAAUAACGCGUUCCAAAUCAUUGCUUAAAAAGUUAGCAUCUCGGACUCGUGUUAAUUGAACAGCCACGGUAACUACUACUACUUGAUAGUACUACUAGUAGCAGUCAAUUUAAGCCUAUAACCCGUGCAGACAAAUUAAAUCAGCAUGCGUGUGUGCAGAUGUGUGUACGUACUUGGGUGCAGGUGGCUUCUCGGCAUCGGCGGCCGGCGCCUCGGCGGGCCUCUUGGCCUUCUCGGCUGCCGGCUCCGGCCUGGCGGCGGCAGCCGCCUCCUCCAUGCCGGCGGUGGGCAGCUUCAGCUUGAGGUCGAUGGUGUCCUUCUUGGCCGCCGCGGCGCCUCCUCCCGGCAGGCCGAGCCGGAGCUCCGUCCCGACGUCGACGUCGGCGCCAGCCAUCGGCUCGUCCGCAGGAGCUAGCAGCUGGCUGGCUAGCCUGGCGCGGCCGUCCUAGGCUUGUCUCUCUCUCUCGCCUUGGGCACUUCCACGCUAGCAGCUAGCUAACUUUCUGCUUGCUCGCUCCUUCUUCUUCUUCUUUGGUCUCUCAGCUUCGCGUGUGUGAGGAAGGAGAGAUUUGGGGUUGCAGUGGGUGGAAGAGAGGACCCAGCAACAGGGUGGAGAUGUGUAUAUAUAGAGGGAGCAUGAGGAUGGAAGAGAGGGAGAGAGAGAAAGCGGAGGUAAAUGCUCCUAUUCUAGGGUGAUGGCAGGAGGAGAGAGAUAGAAAUGGGAGUGGGGUUGCAACUUAGCAGUUAGUUGGAGCAUGAGUGAGCCCAGUUGGAGGUUGGAGCCAAUUAUUUUUGUUCCAUGUUUUCUUCGUUUGGAUUCUGUAUUCAUGGGCAGAGAGGCCAGCUUGCUAGCACAGUGGGGCUAAUAAUUUAA